AUUUUUUAAAGUCAGGGUUUGUCUCUUUUUCUGCAGUUAUGGAGCAUUUGAUGGAAAGGAAUGAUCACAUUUUAUAUAUAUAUAUAUAUGUACAUAUAUUUUGCUAUGGGACAAGGUGGUUUUCUUGGCUUCUUUGAGACCUGCUUCAUGGGCUUUCAAAAGAAGUGUUUGAAUGUUAUUCAACAUGAUUGACAGCCUUUACUUUUUUAGUACUUCAAUAUCUGUAUCUCUGUAUUGUUUAGGUAGGAGGAUACCUUAUCUCCCAU
rnacentral:misc_RNA from 1 species